CCUACGGGGGGCAGCAGUGGGGAAUAUUGGACAAUGGGGGGAACCCUGAUCCAGCCAUGCCGCGUGUGUGAAGAAGGCCCUCGGGUUGUAAAGCACUUUCAGUGAGGAAGAACGCCUGGUGGUUAAUACCCAUCAGGAAAGACAUCACUCACAGAAGAAGCACCGGCUAACUCCGUGCCAGCAGCCGCGGUAAUACGGAGGGGGCGAGCGUUAAUCGGAAUUACUGGGCGUAAAGCGCGCGUAGGUGGCUUGAUAAGCCGGUUGUGAAAGCCCCGGGCUCAACCUGGGAACGGCAUCCGGGACUGUCAAGCUAGAGUGCAGAAGAGGAAGGUAGAAUUCCCGGUGUAGCGGUGAAAUGCGUAGAGAUCGGGAAGAAUACCAGUGGCGAAGGCGGCCUUCUGGACUGACGCUGACACUGAGGUGCGAAAGCGUGGGUAGCAAACAGGAUUAGAUACCCGAGUAGUC
rnacentral:rRNA from 1 species